ACCAAAACACCUAGCCACCACAACCAAAGCCACCUCGGUCGAUGCUUCCUCCCUCAACUCCUCCUCUAGAAACUAGUCCACCUUCAGGAACCAUUUGAGGAGGUCCUCCACCUCCUUCGAUGAUGGCUUCGGUGAGAUCCACAUCAAGCGAUCAUCCACCACCCUUCUCAAACUCAAAUUUGGUAUAACACCCAUCUUUGAGGCCCCC
rnacentral:lncRNA from 1 species